AGUGAACGCUGGCGGUAGGCCUAACACAUGCAAGUCGAGCGGCAGCACGGUAAGCGCUUGCUCUUGCGGUUGGCGGGUGGCGGGCGGGUAACGCAUACAUCGCAAUCUACUUUUUCGUGGAGGAUAACGUGGAGCAGCUUACGCUAAUACCUCAUACGACCUACGGGUGAAAGCAAGAGAUAUUCGGACCUUUCCCGAUUGAAAGAGACGGAGUCGGAUUAGCUAGUUGGCGGGGUAAAGGCCCACCAAGGCGACGAUCCGUAGCCGGUCUGAGAGGAUGAUCAGCCACACUGGAACUGAGACACGGUCCAGACUCCUACGGGAGGCAGCAGUGGGGAAUAUUGGACAAUGGGCGCAAGCCUGACCCAGCAAUACCGCGUGGGUGAAGAAGGCCUUCGGGUUGUAAAGCUCUUUUGUUGGGAAAGAAAAGCAGCAGGUGAAUACGCCGAUGUUCUGACGGUACCUAAAGAAUAAGCACCGGCUAACUUCGUG
rnacentral:rRNA from 1 species